rnacentral:lncRNA from 1 species
AGGGUUGGGUUGGAACCUGUAAAGGUAGCCUAGCACUGAAGAGCAUUGACUCGGAGUUUAUAGAGCUAGGUGUGAAUCCUGCUUCUGCCCUUGAGUUACAUCACAGAGUCUCAGUUUAUUCAUCGGUAAAAUGGGGCUAAGGACCAUCGAGAAUAUGCUUGAGGGGAGGAUUAAAUGCAUCAGUGUGUCUAAGGAUGUUCGCCUAUUUAUGGCUCUAUGGCACAUAGGAAACAUUUGAUAAAUGGUGGCUACUCAGGGCUGGCUUCAAGGGCACGUGACCUUAUAGAUGGACGAGGCAUGACUCUCAGAAGGGUCCCGCAUUUGGGUUAAUGGUUUCUGUCACUGUCUAGAAAGUCCUCACAUUUUUUUUUUUUUGGUCUUUUUCGGGCCGUACCUGUAGCAUAUGGAAGUUCUAGGGGUCAAAUCAGAGCUACAGCUGUCGGCCCACGCCACAGCCACAGCAACGUGGGAUCCCAGCCACAUUUGUGACCUCUGUCACAGCUCACGGCAGCACUGGAUCCUUAACCCACUGAGUGAGGCCAGGGAUCGAACCCACAUCCUCAUGGUUGCGCGUCAAGUUCUUAGCCUGCUGAACCACAGCAGGAACUCCAAGUCUCCACAAUUUUUGAACAAAGUCCUGGAAGUUAGGUAGCCAGUCUUACUGCUCCUGGGCUAUAUGGGACCUCCACUCACUCAUGUGACCCCAUUUCUUACAGGCCCCUCUCCUUUCUGUGGUUUGUUAGAGCCACAGGGGCCCGUCUCCCAAGGGCCUUAGUCAAAAGGAAGGAUCUCCCCUUUGGGAAAAGAACAGUGGUUUAUGGCCUAUGGAACAGUCAGGUAUAGAUAUCUUUUGUUGCCUCCACUUCUAGAAGUCACUCUUUCAGAGAAUGUCACCUCUAAAAUCGAGUAGCAAAAAAUGAUCUCAAGAAAAGGACGAUCCUGGGAAUAGUUGUGAUUGGAGGUGUCCAGGUGAACAGUCUUGAAAUGGGCCGUGCCUUCCCCUGGCUCAUUAUCAGGCUCUCCCAGCCACUGUCCAGCUGCCUCCCUUCGUCAACUGUCUCAUAGAGGGUCCUGACUUGAGUUAUCCCUGCUAGUGGGGACCUGAUUAUUCAAAACAGAGUUUUACGGAAAACACACUGUUUCUCUUUGCAGCUGGGAGACUAGAGAGAGGCAGGGACCAGGCCACAGGCACUGUCCUAGAGUCCCCUUCUGUGUGUGGAGGAGCAGGAUGAGUCCCGGCUUGACUCCGGGUAAAUCCUAGAACAACCUGGGCCUCAGUGUCCUUGACUUAUGUUUUCAGAGUUUCAUUCAAUUCUAGAAUUCUUUGCUAAAUAUCAGUUUAGCGACGAGGAAGUUCUUUGGCAAAUCAAAGUGUUGGAGCCCCCUUUCUUUAAUGAUUUUUAUUUUUUCCAUCAUAGCUGGUUUGCAGUGUUCUGUCAGUUUCCUACUGUAGAGCAAGGUGACCCAGUCACACAUACACAUACUCAUUCUUUUUCUCUCAAGAUCAUGUGGAGCCCCCUUUCUUUAUCGCAACAACCCCCGAGGCCUGCCAGGAGCCCCAGGUUGCAGAAGUGAUGCAUUUAGAUGCUGAGGGUGUGGCUGUGGCAUCUCUGCUCCAGGUUUGAAAGAGACAUUCAGACUCUUUCCAGCACCUCUGUAUUCACAAGAGUCCCUGCUGGGCCAGAGGGGCCUAUGGGUGUGUGGGACCCCGGGAGAGAACUGUAUAUUCCCAGCUGAGAAUUGGAAUCGAAACUUCCUUAAGCGUUCUCUCUACGACUGAGAGAGGCAUCACUGAGAAGCAGAGUUGGGGAUGAAGGCCGAAGCCCCCCAGCCCACUUUUUGGUACUUCUUACUGAUGCCACUGCUUCUGCCUUACAGGUGCUCACGUCAUGCCGAGCCUUCCUGGUGACAGCGCGGAUCCCCACCAAGGUGAGUGUUGAUGGGUUUCCUCCUUCCAACACGGACAGACGCACAGACAUGUAGAUACCCCCCAACACACACUCACUUUUCAAUGCCAUUGACUUAUGAUUUAGGCCAGUGUGUUCAGGGUUCUCUUUAUACAACUGCAUUUUCCUGCCUUCUCCCCAGAAAGCACUGAAACGUCGUGAUGAUGGAUGCUUUUUACUCUUUGGACCCUCUCUCUGCAAAAAGGCAUCAAGAAAAUUGGCGACGUGUUUUGUGCUCCAAAUCCCCGAGCCUUGUGGAUUUCAGUUACUUUUCUCUCUCCACUGGGGACUGGUUUACACUUUCUUCCAGUCUAGUUCUUAUUUCCUUGGGUCCAGUAAUGGCAGCCUUUUCUAAGACUUUGACAGGUGGGAAGUAACUCUUACACCUCUGAAGAGCCCCCCCACCCCCCGCCACAUUACAGGCUCUGGUGUUGCCUAUAAAGAGUAGCA